UACGUAGGGUCCGAGCGUUGUCCGGAAUUACUGGGCGUAAAGAGCUCGUAGGUGGUUUGUCGCGUUGUUCGUGAAAACUCACAGCUCAACUGUGGGCGUGCGGGCGAUACGGGCAGACUUGAGUACUGCAGGGGAGACUGGAAUUCCUGGUGUAGCGGUGGAAUGCGCAGAUAUCAGGAGGAACACCGGUGGCGAAGGCGGGUCUCUGGGCAGUAACUGACGCUGAGGAGCGAAAGCGUGGGGAGCGAAUAGG
rnacentral:rRNA from 1 species